ensembl:lncRNA
GUCUGUACUGUAUAUAUAUAAAAUAUAUACUGUAUGUGUGUCUAUUUAUAUAUACAUAAUAAAUAUACACAAUACACACACAUUAUAUAAAUAAAAGCUUUUAUUUAGGAUGUGAGUAAUGGUUUGACAGCACUAGUGCAGAGCUAUAACAUGAAUGUGGAUCAUGAGAUAUGACUGAGAUAUAUAUCCGCUGGGUUUCUCAUUUCAGGCACGAUCACGAUGGCUCUUCUGGAGAAGCUGGAGUCUGGUAACAUCUACCUGGUGAAGAUCUCGGCCUCUAACCAGGCGGGUGACGGUCCGUUCUCCAGCACCGUAGAGCUGCGGCUCAGGAGUAAAAGAAACACAGGUACACGCCACUCAUCUAUUAUAACAAAAACGUAAAUAUACCUUUCAUGCUCACGCAUGCAUUUCUGCAGCGUCUAUCGACGGCCUGAAGCACAUCGAUGAGACGUCCAUGAGCGGCAUCAUCGCUGGCGUGUGUAUCGCUCUGUCCUUCAUCAUCCUCUGCGUCUUCAUCCUCCUCACCAAGAGCAAAGCACACAGGAAAUCAGCUUCCUCAAAGAUGAUUGGACGGGUGAGGAAUGAUGUCAUGAGUAGUGGAGCGUCGUCAGCCAAUCAGCAGCAGGUGGAGAACACGCACUUUAUUGAGGCCAAAGGAGGAACAAAUCUGAUGAUAAACCAGACUGGACCCGUUAUGAGUGACGCUCAGAACAAACGGAAGAAAUGGAGCGUGUUUAAUAAUAAUCAGAAGUCGAAUGGAAAUAAAGGCGAGUUGAGUAACAGAUCAGUGUUUAUAGCAGGUGUUUUAAUUCUGUGUAUCGAAGUUAAAUUUUCAUUAUGAGUCAGCAUGAAACGCUUAGCUCUUUUAUGUUUUCGGUUUUCAUUUUAAUUUUAGUUUUUAUUUCAGUUAAAGUUUGAGCUGUUUUAUUGUUUUUGUCAUAUUAAUGCUAGCAGCAUGACAGUAACAUGCUGAUAAUGCUAGAAACAUGCUAGCGGCAUGCUAGUAACUUGCUAAUCAUGCUAGAAACAUGCUAGCGACAUGCUAGUAACUUGGUAAUCUUGGUAGCAACAUUUUAUUUACUUUGCUAAUCAUGCUAACAACAUGCUAGUAAUAUGUUAAUCAUGCUAGAAACAUGCUAGUGGCAUGCUAGUAACUUGCUAAUAAUGCUAACAACAUGCUAGUUACUUGCUAAUCAUGUUAAAACAUGUUAGUAACAUGCUAAUCAUAUUAGAAACAUGCUAGCAACAUGCUAGUAACUUGCUAAUCAUGCUAGCAACAUGUUAACAAUGUGCUAGUAACAUGCUAAUUUUAUUGUUUUAUUGUUUUAUUGUUUGCCUGUUUGUUGAUGUUUUGUUAAUUGUAAUCUUGUUAUGCUCUUUAAGUUGUAAUUGUGUUUCAUUGUAAGGACCCCCUCGAAAAUGAGAUGAUACAUCUCAAGGGGUUAAUCCUAAUAAAUUCUAAUAAUAAUCAUGCUAGCCA